CCUACGGGAGGCAGCAGUAGGGAAUAUUGGGCAAUGGAGGCAACUCUGACCCAGCCAUGCCGCGUGCAGGAUGAAGGCGUUAUGCGUUGUAAACUGCUUUUAUAUAGGAAGAAAUAGACCUUGCGAGGUAAGUUGACGGUACUAUAUGAAUAAGCACCGGCUAACUCCGUGCCAGCAGCCGCGGUAAUACGGAGGGUGCAAGCGUUGUCCGGAUUUAUUGGGUUUAAAGGGUGCGUAGGCGGUUUAUUAAGUCAGUGGUGAAAGACGGUCGCUCAACGAUUGCAGUGCCAUUGAUACUGGUAGACUUGAGUGUGAUUGAGGUAGCUGGAAUGGAUAGUGUAGCGGUGAAAUGCAUAGAUAUUAUCCAGAACACCAAUUGCGUGGGCAAGUUACUAAGUCACAACUGACGCUGAGGCACGAAAGUGUGGGUAUCAAACAGGAUUAGAUACCCUGGUAGUCCACACUGUAAACGAUANAUAACUAACUAGUGUCGUUUGGUUCGUGUGGUACGAGAGAAGUAGUUAAGUUAGUUACGUACCGUGGGUAGGUACGUUCGGCGUACGGUUAGAACGUACGAAGUUAGAGUUAGACGGCGUUGAGACGNGCGACGGACGACGACGAGGGAGGAGG
rnacentral:rRNA from 1 species